CGCCUGUUUAACAAAAACAUCGCUCGAAGCUUGAUUUUUGAGUAACGCCUGCCCAGUGAAAUUUUUAACGGCCGCAGUAUACUGACUGUGCAAAGGUAGCAUAAUAAUUUGUCCUUUAAUUGAGGGCUGGUAUGAAUGGCAUCACGUAGUAAUAGCUAUCUCCUUAUAAAUAAUAAACUUAAUUUUUAAGUCAAAAAGCUUAAAUUUAUCCGCAGGACGAGAAGACCCCGUAGAGCUUUAUAUCAUAAAUUUAUUUAUUUGGUAGAUAAAGUUUUAAAUUACUAUAGAUAUUUUAUUGGGGUGAUAAGAAGUCGUAAACACUUUUUAAUAAAACAAUUAUAGUAGGAUUACUGAUCCGGCUCCCGAUUAGAAAAACAAGUUACCUCGGGGAUAACAGCGUAAUCUAUCCUUAGAGUUCUUAUCAAAAGAUAGGGUUGCGACCUCGAUGUUGGAUUAAGAUACCUUAAGUGAGUAGUAAUACUUUAAGGGGGUCUGUUCGACCUUUAAAUUCUUACAUGAUCUGAGUUCAAACCGGAGCUCC
rnacentral:rRNA from 1 species